AUUGAACGCUGGCGACAUGCCUUACACAUGCAAGUCGAACGGCAGCACGGGUGCUUGUACCUGGUGGCGAGUGGCGAACGGGUGAGUAAUACAUCGGAACAUGUCCUGUAGUGGGGGAUAGCCCGGCGAAAGCCGGAUUAAUACCGCAUACGAUCUACGGAUGAAAGCGGGGGACCUUCGGGCCUCGCGCUAUAGGGUUGGCCGAUGGCUGAUUAGCUAGUUGGUGGGGUAAAGGCCUACCAAGGCGACGAUCAGUAGCUGGUCUGAGAGGACGACCAGCCACACUGGGACUGAGACACGGCCCAGACUCCUACGGGAGGCAGCAGUGGGGAAUUUUGGACAAUGGGCGAAAGCCUGAUCCAGCAAUGCCGCGUGUGUGAAGAAGGCCUUCGGGUUGUAAAGCACUUUUGUCCGGAAAGAAAUCCUUGGCCCUAAUACGGUCGGGGGAUGACGGUACCGGAAGAAUAAGCACCGGCUAACUACGUG
rnacentral:rRNA from 1 species